GAUGAACGCUGGCGGCGUGCCUAAUACAUGCAAGUCGAGCGAACGGACGAGAAGCUUGCUUCUCUGAUGUUAGCGGCGGACGGGUGAGUAACACGUGGAUAACCUACCUAUAAGACUGGGAUAACUUCGGGAAACCGGAGCUAAUACCGGAUGAUAUUUUGAACCGCAUGGUUCAAAAGUGAAAGACGAUCUCGCUGUCACUUAUAGAUGGAUCCGCGCUGCAUUAGCUAGUUGGUAAGGUAACGGCUUACCAAGGCAACGAUGCAUAGCCGACCUGAGAGGGUGAUCGGCCACACUGGAACUGAGACACGGUCCAGACUCCUACGGGAGGCAGCAGUAGGGAAUCUUCCGCAAUGGGCGAAAGCCUGACGGAGCAACGCCGCGUGAGUGAUGAAGGUCUUCGGAUCGUAAAACUCUGUUAUUAGGGAAGAACAUAUGUGUAAGUAACUGUGCACAUCUUGACGGUACCUAAUCAGAAAGCCACGGCUAACUACGUG
rnacentral:rRNA from 1 species